UGAAUGAAACUGGAACUCUAAAUGGCAACUGUCAAAACACUGAAAGAAAAUAUGUCUUGUCUGUAUGUCUUGGAAAGCAUCAAAUAAAAACCAUCCAAAUUUUGUUUCGUCUGAGAUUUUUUUUUUUUUUUCUUGUUGUUGAGAUGUAAAACUCAGAUGUGUGUAAAGAAGGAAGGUAAUAUCUACAGUACGUAGACCUACUCUUAAAAAUAAAAGGCCCAGCAAAAAACAAAAAAGGAGUUUUGGGAGUGAUGUCCUUUAAGUAUUUUUUUCUUAGUGCCAUAAACAACCUAUGUAACCAUUAGUUAUAAUUUUCGGAUUAGCUUGGCUGUGUGGCAUAUUGGUUGCAUACGAAAGUGCAUACUAUACAGUAGGCUAGGCAAAAAAAAAAAAAAAAAAAACCUUUGUCUGAAUUUACAGUAUUCACAAAAUAAUAGGUAAAAAGUCCCAGAGUAAACAUUUUCUGAGAUUCUGAAGUGUUUGAUGGACAUUUUACUAUUCUAAUGGCCACAGGAGAGCAUUUUAAGAGGUUUUGCAUUUGUUUAUCUGCAUCUGUCAGCUAUUAAAUAAUUGAUAUUUAAAAAAUGUUGUUAGGAUGUUAAUUAUUUAUAAUGUAGGCCUACGUAAAAUGUAGUUUUUAAAGACGUUUAUCAGAUGUUUGUACCCAGCAGGGUGAAUGUGAUUUAAGUGUGUGUACGUUUUAAGUAGUUAUAAAUUCAAAAGAAGUAACUAAUCAGAGAUUAUGCAAUUUCCAACACAGCCAUCGUGUCCAACAGCACUACUUUUCACUGUUUGUAUCACUGCGCUUGUCUAUUUUUGUGGGGGGCGGCGACAGUGUACUGCCUAAAAUGAAAUUACAUAAGCGGUUUCCAUAACUGCUCCAAAUUCAAAAAUGAAACUAAAAUUAAAUCAUCUUUGAGAGCAAGGAGGCCCCCUGGUGUUCACGCAAAAGGAUGAUAUCCGCUUCGUCAUGCCUCGAGCUGAUCUGUGCUGGUCGCUGAGGAAAUACAUCAACUUCGCACUGUGGAUCGACAAAUCGGCUUUCACUGUGGACGAAGUGGAAUCCAGCCCGGGGUCGUCACAUGUGGUUGCCGCAAGCACAAGCUUUGGCAGUUUGAAGCUCACUGGAUUUUCCCCAUCUAUGCUCAAUCAGGAGAGCAAAAACAGAACCACAGG
ensembl:lncRNA